rnacentral:rRNA from 1 species
UUCCGGUUGAUCCUGCCGGAGGUCACUGCUAUUGGGAUUCGACUAAGCCAUGCGAGUCGAGAGGGUUCGGCCCUCGGCUGACGGCUCAGUAACACGUGGAUAAUCUGCCCUUAGGUGGAGGAUAAUCUCGGGAAACUGAGGAUAAUACUCCAUAGAUCUAGGAUGCUGGAAUGCAUCUAGAUUGAAAGCUCCGGCGCCUAAGGAUGAGUCUGCGGACUAUCAGGUUGUAGUCAGGGUAAAGACCUGACUAGCCUACGACGGAUACGGGUUGUGAGAGCAAUAACCCGGAGACGAUAUCUGAGACACGAUAUCGGGCCCUACGGGGCGCAGCAGGCGCGAAAACUUCACACUGUGCGAAAGCGCGAUGAGGGAAUCCCAAGUGUUUGCUCGUAAGAGUAAACUGUUUCUUUGUUUAAAACGCAGAGAGAGUAAGGGCUGGGUAAGACGGGUGCCAGCCGCCGCGGUAAUACCUGCAGCUCAAGUGGUGAUCAUUAUUAUUGGGCCUAAAACGUCCGUAGCCGGUUUAGUAAAUGCCUGGGUAAAUCGUGUAGCUUAACUAUACGACUUCCGGGUAGACUGCUAAACUUGAGACCGGGAGAGGCUAGAGGUACUCCUGGGGUAGAGGUGAAAUUCUGUAAUCCUAGGGGGACCACCGGUGGCGAAGGCGUCUAGCUAGAACGGGUCUGACGGUGAGGGACGAAGCCCUGGGGCACAAACCGGAUUAGAUACCCGGGUAGUCCAGGGUGUAAACGCUGCUUGCUUGAUGUUAGUUGGGCUCCGAGCCCAACUAGUGUCGGAGAGAAGUUGUUAAGCAAGCUGCCUGGGAAGUACGGUCGCAAGGCUGAAACUUAAAGGAAUUGGCGGGGGAGCACAGCAACGGGUGGAGCGUGCGGUUUAAUUGGAUUCAACGCCGG